UCCUACGGGAGGCAGCAGUGAGGAAUAUUGGGCAAUGGACGAAAGUCUGACCCAGCAACGCCGCGUGGAGGAUGAAUGCCGUAAGGUUGUAAACUCCUUUUGAGAGGGACGAAAACCCAUAUUUCGUAAGGGAUAUGGUUUGACUGUACCUCUAGAAGAAGCCCCGGCUAACUACGUGCCAGCAGCCGCGGUAAUACGUAGGGGGCAAGCGUUGUCCGGAUUUACUGGGUGUAAAGGGCGCGUAGGCGGAUUUGUAAGUCAGAGGUGAAAGCCCGCAGCUUAACUGCGGAACUGCCUUUGAUACUGCUUAUCUUGAGUUCGGAAGAGAGAAGCGGAAUUCCAGGUGUAGUAGUGAAAUACGUAGAUAUCUGGAAGAACACCAGUGGCGAAGGCGGCUUCUUGGUCCGUAACUGACGCUGAGGCGCGAAAGCGUGGGGAGCAAACAGGAUUAGAUACCCCAGUAGUCCAAGCCGAAU
rnacentral:rRNA from 1 species